rnacentral:rRNA from 1 species
AUGGAGCGCAUGGCCACCUCGUAUUUUAAGGAAGUAUAUACUAAGGAUCCAACGCUUACGCCUGCGGGUGUGCUCGACGGAAUUGCACCCAAAGUGACACAGGGCAUGAAUGACAUCUUGUGUGCGCCCUUCUCUGAGGAGGAAGUGUCUAAUGCUGUGUUUCAGAUCGGCCUAAUUAAAGCACCUGGCACAGAUGGCCUGCCGGCUAGGUUUUUCCAGCACAACUGGUCUGUUUUGAAGACAGAGAUCAUAGCUGCGGUGUUGGAUUUCUUCAAGUCAGGAGUAAUGCCAGAGGGAGUGAAUGAUACGGCCAUCGUCCUUAUUCCAAAAGAUCCUCACCCAAAGGAACUAAAGGACUUCAGACCGAUAAGUCUAUGCAACGUGCUAUAUAAAAUCGUGUCUAACUGCCCGGUUAAUCGUCUUCGACCUUUGUUAGGGGAAUUGAUCUUGGAGAAUCAAAGUGCAUUCAUUCCUAGAUGA